rnacentral:rRNA from 1 species
CAGCUAGUUGGUAGGGUAACGGCCUACCAAGGCUUUGAUCGUUAGCUGGUCUGAGAGGAUGGCCAGCCACACUGGAACUGAGACACGGUCCAGACUCCUACGGGAGGCAGCAGUGGGGAAUCUUGCACAAUGGGCGAAAGCCUGAUGCAGCGACGCCGCGUGGGGGAUGAAGCAUCUCGGUGUGUAAACCCCUUUCGACUGGGACGAAUGCCUCGCAAGAGGAGUGACGGUACCAGUAGAAGAAGCCCCGGCUAACUACGUGCCAGCAGCCGCGGUAAGACGUAGGGGGCCAGCGUUGUUCGGAAUUACUGGGUGUAAAGGGUUCGUAGGCGGUGUGGCAAGUUGGGAGUGAAAUCUCUGGGCUCAACCCAGAGGCUGCUUCCAAAACUGCUGUGCUUGAGUGUGGGAGAGGCGCGUGGAAUUGCAGGUGUAGCGGUGAAAUGCGUAGAUAUCUGCAGGAACACCCGUGGCGAAAGCGGCGCGCUGGACCACAACUGACGCUGAGGAACGAAAGCUAGGGGAGCAAACAGGAUUAGAUACCCUGGUAGUCCUAGCCCUAAACGAUCAGGAC